AUUACCCAAUCCUGACACGGGGAGGUAGUGACAAGAAAUAACAAUACAGGGCAAUUGUCUUGUAAUUGGAAUGAUGGUGACGCAAAAUCUCACCAGAGUAACAAUUGGAGGGCAAGUCUGGUGCCAGCAGCCGCGGUAAUUCCAGCUCCAAUAGCGUAUAUUAAACUUGUUGCAGUUAAAAAGCUCGUAGUUGAAUUUCUGCGUUGCCCGACUCGGCUACUUGCCUUGUCUGGUUUCGCUUUUGGGGUUUUCCCCUUUUUACUUUGAGAAAAUUAGAGUGUUUCAAGCAGACUUGUGUCUUGAAUACUUCAGCAUGGAAUAAUAAAGUAGGACUUUGGUUCUAUUUUGUUGGUUUGUGAGCCUUAGUAAUGGUUAAUAGGAACGGUUGGGGGCAUUCGUAUUUAA
rnacentral:rRNA from 1 species